rnacentral:rRNA from 1 species
GAUUGAACGCUGGCGGCGUGCCUAACACAUGCAAGUCGAGCGGUAACAGGUGUAGCAAUACAUGCUGACGAGCGGCGAACGGGUGAGUAAUGCUUCGGAAUCUACCCAAGUGGUGGGGAAUAACCAGCCGAAAGGUUGGCUAAUACCGCAUACGUCCCACGGGAGAAAGCAGGGGAUCGCAAGACCUUGCGCCAAUGGAUGAGCCGAAGUCGGAUUAGCUAGNGGUAGGGUAACGGCCUACCAAGGCGACGAUCCGUAGCUGGUCUGAGAGGACGACCAGCCACACUGGGACUGAGACACGGCCCAGACUCCUACGGGAGGCAGCAGUGGGGAAUAUUGGACAAUGGGGGAAACCCUGAUCCAGCGACGCCGCGUGUGUGAAGAAGGCCUGCGGGUUGUAAAGCACUUUUAGUGGGAUGAAAUUGUUCAGGGUUAACACCUCUGGAUUUUGACCUAACCCACAGAAAAAGCACCGGCUAACUCU